rnacentral:rRNA from 1 species
GCACAAGCGGUGGAUGAUGCGGUUUAAUUCGAUGCAACGCGAAAACCUUACCCACCUUUGACAUGUACGGAAUCCUUUAGAGAUAGAGGAGUGCUCGAAAGAGAGCCGUAACACAGGUGCUGCAUGGCUGUCGUCAGCUCGUGUCGUGAGAUGUUGGGUUAAGUCCCGCAACGAGCGCAACCCUUGUCAUUAGUUGCUACGAAAGGGCACUCUAAUGAGACUGCCGGUGACAAACCGGAGGAAGGUGGGGAUGACGUCAAGUCCUCAUGGCCCUUAUAGGUGGGGCUACACACGUCAUACAAUGGCUGGUACAAAGGGUUGCCAACCCGCGAGGGGGAGCCAAUCCCAUAAAGCCAGUCGUAGUCCGGAUCGCAGUCUGCAACUCGACUGCGUGAAGUCGGAAUCGCUAGUAAUCGUGGAUCAGCAUGUCACGGUGAAUACGUUCCCGGGUCUU